rnacentral:rRNA from 1 species
GCAGAGCACUCCUACUGGAGGCAGCAGUGGGGAAUAUUGCACAAUGGGCGCAAGCCUGAUGCAGCCAUGCCGCGUGUAUGAAGAAGGCCUUCGGGUUGUAAAGUACUUUCAGCAGUGAGGAAGGUGGGUAUGUUAAUAGCAUACUCAUUUGACGUUAGCUGCAGAAGAAGCACCGGCUAAACUCCGUGCCAGCAGCCGCGGUAAUACGGGGGGUGCGAGCGUUAAUCGGAAUUACUGGGCGUAAAGCGCAUGCAGGUGGUUUGUUAAGUCAGAUGUGAAAGCCCGGGGCUCAACCUCGGAAUUGCAUUUGAAACUGGCAAACUAGAGUACUGUAGAGGGGGUAGAAUUUCAGGUGUAGCGGUGAAAUGCGUAGAGAUCUGAAGGAAUACCGGUGGCGAAGGCGGCCCCCUGGACAGAUACUGACACUCAGAUGCGAAAGCGUGGGGAGCAAACAGGAUUAGAUACCCUGGUAG